rnacentral:rRNA from 1 species
GGACUACCGGGGUAUCUAAUCCGGUUCGCUCCCCACGCUCUCGCACCUCAGCGUCAGGUGCUGCCCAGUCGACUGGUUUCCCCCUGGGUGUUCCUGCCGAUCUCUACGCAUUUCACCACUACACCGGCAAUUCCAUCGACCUCUGCAGCCCUCCAGUGCUGCCGUAUGGGAUGGCGCCUGGCCGUUAAGCGGCCAGAUUUCACACCCCACGCGCAGUACCGCCUGCGUGCGCUUUACGCCCAGUCAAUCCGGACAACGCUUGGCUCCUCUGUAUUACCGCGGCUGCUGGCAC